AGAAUCUCUUACAACAGCACAAAUAUGCAAACCAGGCAUUGUCUCAAGUACAUCCAAUGCAACUAAUCAAGGGCUUCAUUAGUUGCACCAGGUGUCCUUGAACUGGAACACUGGCUUUUGGUUUUCUGAGUGUCACGUUUGACACUCAGUCCACUAAGUUAAGAGAAGAGGUUAUCGCUUUCCACAAAUAAGGAACAAAAUACAAACAGGAGGAAGAUUAAUGAUGCAUACACUGAAAAGAACUUUCUACCUACAGUUAAGC